AACGAACGCUGGCGGCAGGCUUAACACAUGCAAGUCGAACGCCCCGCCAGGGGAGUGGCAGACGGGUGAGUAACGCGUGGCAAUCUACCCAGCUCUACGGAACAACUGAGGGAAAUUUCAGCUCAUACCGUAUACGCCCUACGGGGGAAAGCUGCCUCGGAAUUGGAUGAGACCGCGUUGGUUUAGCUGGUUGGUGGGGUAAUGGCCUACCCAGGCGACGUUCCCUAGCUGGUCUGAGAGGGUGAUCAGCCACACUGGUACUGCGACACGACCCAGACUCCUACGGGACGCAGCAGUAGGUAGUAAGGGACAAUGGGCGAUAGCCGGAUCCGGCCAUGCCGCGUGGGGGAUGAAUGACCUAGGGUUGAAAAGCUCUUUAAGCGGAGUAGAUAAGGACGAUGCCCGCAGAAGAAGCCCCGGCUAACUUCGUGCCAGCCGCCGCAGUAACAC
rnacentral:rRNA from 1 species